AAUAGAUACCCGGGUAGUCCACACCGUAAACGUUGGGCGCUAGGUGUGGGACUCAUUCCACGAGUUCCGUGCCGCAGCUAACACAUUAAGCGCCCCCGCCUGGGGAGUACGGCCGCAAGGCUAAAACUCAAAGGAAUUGACGGGGGGCCCGCACAAGCGGCGGAGCAUGCGGAUUAAUUCGAUGCAACGCGAAGAACCUUACCUAGGUUUGACAUAUACGAGAAGCCUCUAGAGAUAGAGGUCUCUUUGGACACUUGUAUACAGGUGGUGCAUGGCUGUCGUCAGCUCGUGUCGUGAGAUGUUGGGUUAAGUCCCGCAACGAGCGCAACCCUCGUCUUAUGUUGCCAGCACGUAAUGGUGGGGACUCAUAAGAGACUGCCGGGGUUCAACUCGGAGGAAGGUGGGGAUGACGUCAAGUCAUCAUGCCCCUUAUGCCUAGGGCUUCACGCAUGCUACAAUGGCUGGUACAAAGGGUCUGCGAUACCGCAAGGUGGAGCGAAUCCCGAAAAACGCCAGUCUCAGUUCGGAUUGGGGUCG
rnacentral:rRNA from 1 species